rnacentral:rRNA from 1 species
UACGUAGGGUGCGAGCGUUAAUCGGAAUUACUGGGCGUAAAGCGUGCGCAGGCGGUUGGGUAAGUCUGAUGUGAAAGCCCCGGGCUCAACUUGGGAAUGGCAUUGGAAACUGGCUGGCUAGAGUGUGGCAGAGGGGGGUGGAAUUCCGCGUGUAGCAGUGAAAUGCGUAGAGAUGCGGAGGAACACCGAUGGCGAAGGCAGCCCCCUGGGCUAGCACUGACGCUCAGGCACGAAAGCGUGGGGAGCAAACAGG